AGCACUGGAAGAAACUGCUAAGGAAACUGUAGGAACAUUUCAGGAGACGCAAAACGUUUCUUUAAAAGUUUCUUGAAGGAAGAUUUGUUUUG
rnacentral:snoRNA from 1 species